rnacentral:tRNA from 1 species
GAGGGUGUAGCUCAGUAGUAGAGUUCAUGCUUAGCAUGCACAAGGUCUUGGGUUCAAUCCCUAGUACUUCCA